rnacentral:lncRNA from 1 species
AUUUGACUAGCUCUUCAACUUUGUUAUACAAUUACUUGUGAAUAGAUGUUGUAGUAUUGCUUGAGGAAUGUUAUUGAAGUUAUUUCUAGUUUGCCUAUUAUUUUUGAAGAACUAUAUUUACAUACAAUUAUGAAAUCUUUUUUUUUUUUUGAUUUUGUGGUGUUCAAUGUUGGUGUGUGUUUAGUUAAGUAUUAAUCAAACAUUUUUACAAAAAAUGCUAGCUAGAUGACUAAGAAAAGUAAUCGAUAUCCUUCUUUCUACCCUUCCCUGACUCGAUGGCAUCAAACACAUAGUUCUUAUCCAACAACGAAAACUGGCUGGCUAACGAACCUAACGAUGAAAGGAAAACAACUAAAAGAACUACCGCUAACAGGACAACGACUACAACUAACUUGCUUCAAAAGUCUUCUGCUCGUUCCUUCCAUCCGAGCUUGAGGACAAGGAACUAUCAAUACUAGCUGCAAACCUAAUGGUUUAAACGCAAA